CGACGUUUGGCUUUGAUGGAAGCCCGAUAUACUUCUGCUUACUCAGCAGUUGGAACAAAAUAAUAAUAGUCAUUUUUAAUGGUAGAGGGGAUAAUAAUGUCUGGUGUGAUAACUUUCUUUGGAACUUUUUUUGGAAUUUUAUUAU